rnacentral:rRNA from 1 species
AUUGAACGCUGGCGGCAGGCCUAACACAUGCAAGUCGAGCGAGCGGCGGACGGGUGAGUAAUGUAUGGGGACUGCCCGAUAGAGGGGGAUAACUACUGGAAACGGUGGCUAAUACCGCAUACUAUCGGAUAACCCAUAUGGGAUUAGCUAGUAGGUGGGGUAAAGGCUCACCUAGGCGACGAUCUCUAGCUGGUCUGAGAGGAUGAUCAGCCACACUGGGACUGAGACACGGCCCAGAGUCCUACGGAGGCAGGAGGGGGGAAUAUUGCGCAAUGGGCGCAAGCCGGAUGUAGCCAGGCCGCGUGUAUGAAGAAGGCCUUAGGGUUGUAAAGUACUUUCACCAUCGACGCGGUAGAUGGAGAAGAAGCACCGGCUAACUACGUGCCAGCAGCCGCGGUAAUAC